GGAGAGUACAGCUCAAGUGGUAGAGUGCAUGCUUAUAAUGCAGGAGGUCCUGGGUGCAAUCCCCAGUGUCUCCU
rfam:Camelus ferus unplaced genomic scaffold scaffold398, whole genome shotgun sequence.